rnacentral:rRNA from 1 species
UACGUAGGUGGCGAGCGUUGUCCGGAUUUACUGGGCGUAAAGGGAGCGUAGGCGGACUUUUAAGUGAGAUGUGAAAUACCCGGGCUCAACUUGGGUGCUGCAUUUCAAACUGGAAGUCUAGAGUGCAGGAGAGGAGAAUGGAAUUCCUAGUGUAGCGGUGAAAUGCGUAGAGAUUAGGAAGAACACCAGUGGCGAAGGCGGCUCUCUGGACUGUAACUGACGCUGAGGCACGAAAGCGUGGGGAGCAAACAGGAUUAGGAUACCCCGGGUAGU